CCGCCUGGGGAGUACGGCCGCAAGGUUAAAACUCAAAUGAAUUGACGGGGGCCCGCACAAGCGGUGGAGCAUGUGGUUUAAUUCGAUGCAACGCGAAGAACCUUACCUGGUCUUGACAUCCACAGAAGAAUCCAGAGAUGGAUUUGUGCCUUCGGGAACUGUGAGACAGGUGCUGCAUGGCUGUCGUCAGCUCGUGUUGUGAAAUGUUGGGUUAAGUCCCGCAACGAGCGCAACCCUUAUCCUUUGUUGCCAGCG
rnacentral:rRNA from 3 species